CAGAACUAUACUCUGAGGGAUCAUUUCUGUACCUCAUUACUAGAGAAGUUCCUCUUAACAUGUAGAGUACCAGAAAUCACAAGGAGGAGAUGCAGUGUUUUUUUCUGAGUGUGAAGCUGGCACUUAGUGUUUUGCUGUAACUGCUGCUUACCAAUGAUCGUUCUUCUUUUCUUCCAGGUGAGUAAGAGAGAGAGGUAGAGAAGUUCAAAGGCAU
ensembl:snoRNA U3 Small nucleolar RNA U3